ensembl:rRNA 5S_rRNA 5S ribosomal RNA
GUCUACGGCCAUGCCAUCCUGAACGUGCCCGAUCCCAUCUGAUCUCGGAAGCUAAGCAGGGUCAGGCCUGCUUAGUAGUUGGAUGGGAGACCGUCUAGUAAUACCAAGCGCUGUAGUUA